rnacentral:rRNA from 1 species
GAUGAACGCUGGCGGCGUGCCUAAUACAUGCAAGUCGAGCGAACGGACGAUAAGCUUGCUUCUCUUUUUUUAGCGUCGCACGUGUGUGUAACACGUGUAUAACCUACCUUUAUUUCUGGGAUAACUUCGGGAAACCGGUGCUAAUACCGGCUAAUCUUUUGAACCGCAUGGUUCUAAAUUGAAAGACGGUCUUUCUGUCUCUUAUAGAUGUUUCCGCGCUGCAUUAGCUAGUUGGUAAGGUAACGGCUUACCAAGGCAACUAUGCAUAGCCGACCUGAGAGGGUGAUCGGCCACACGGGAACUGAGACACGGACCAGACUCCUACGGGAGGCAGCAGUAGGGAAUAGGACGCAAUGGGCGAAAGCAUGACGGAGCAACGGCGAGUGAGAGAUGAAGGUCUGAGGAUCGUAAAAAUCUGUUAUUAGGGAAGAACAUAUGUGUAAGGAAAUGUGCACAUAUUGACGGUAACUAAUCAGAAAGCAACGGCUAACUACGUG